GGUUCCAUAGUGUAGUGGUCGUCACGUCUGCUUUACACGCAGAAGGUCCUGGGUUCAAUCCCCAGUGGAACCA
rnacentral:tRNA from 1 species